rnacentral:rRNA from 1 species
UGGGGAAUUUUGGACAAUGGGCGAAAGCCUGAUCCAGCAAUGCCGCGUGUGUGAAGAAGGCCUUCGGGUUGUAAAGCACUUUUGUCCGGAAAGAAAUCCUUGGCUCUAAUACAGUCGGGGGAUGACGGUACCGGAAGAAUAAGCACCGGCUAACUACGUGCCAGCAGCCGCGGUAAUACGUAGGGUGCAAGCGUUAAUCGGAAUUACUGGGCGUAAAGCGUGCGCAGGCGGUUUGCUAAGACCGAUGUGAAAUCCCCGGGCUCAACCUGGGAACUGCAUUGGUGACUGGCAGGCUAGAGUAUGGCAGAGGGGGGUAGAAUUCCACGUGUAGCAGUGAAAUGCGUAGAGAUGUGGAGGAAUACCGAUGGCGAAGGCAGCCCCCUGGCAAGUACUGACGCUCAUGCACGAAAGCGUGGGGAGCAAACAGGAUUAGAUACCCUGGUAGUCCACGCCCUAAACGAUGUCAACUAGUUGUUGGGGGAUUCAUUUCCUUAGUAACGUAGCUAACGCGUGAAGUUGACCGCCUGGGGAGUACGGUCGCAAGAUUAAAACUCAAAUGAAUUGACGGGGUCAUAGCUGUUUCCU